GUACCAGGAAGGUCUCAGCUGUACCAGGGAGGUCUCCCCUGUACCAGGAAGGUCUCAGCUGUACCAGGGAGGUCUCAGCUGUACCAGGGGUCUGAAUCAUACUAGGGAGGUCUCAGCUGUACCAGGAAGGUCUUCCCUGUACCAGGAAUGUCUCAGCUGUACCAGGGGGCUGAAUCAUGCCAGGAAGGUCUCAGCUGUACCAGGAAGGUCUC